rnacentral:rRNA from 1 species
UACGUAGGGUGCAAGCGUUAAUCGGAAUUACUGGGUGUAAAGCGUGCGCAGGCGGUUGUGUAAGACAGAUGUGAAAUCCCCGGGCUCAACCUGGGAACUGCAUUUGUGACUGCACAGCUGGAGUGCGGCAGAGGGGGGUGGAAUUCCGCGUGUAGCAGUGAAAUGCGUAGAUAUGCGGAGGAACACCGAUGGCGAAGGCAAUCCCCUGGGCCUGCACUGACGCUCAUGCACGAAAGCGUGGGGAGCAAACAGG